rnacentral:rRNA from 1 species
CUACCGAUUGAAUGGCUCAGUGAGGCGUCCGGACUGGCCCAGAGAGGUGGGCAACUACCACUCAGGGCCGGAAAGCUCUCCAAACUCGGUCAUUUAGAGGAAGUAAAAGUCGUAACAAGGUCUCCGUUGGUGAACCAGCGGAGGGAUCAUUACCGAGUUUACAACUCCCAAACCCCUGUGAACAUACCACUUGUUGCCUCGGCGGAUCAGCCCGCUCCCGGUAAAACGGGACGGCCCGCCAGAGGACCCCUAAACUCUGUUUCUAUAUGUAACUUCUGAGUAAAACCAUAAAUAAAUCAAAACUUUCAACAACGGAUCUCUUGGUUCUGGCAUCGAUGAAGAACGCAGCAAAAUGCGAUAAGUAAUGUGAAUUGCAGAAUUCAGUGAAUCAUCGAAUCUUUGAACGCACAUUGCGCCCGCCAGUAUUCUGGCGGGCAUGCCUGUUCGAGCGUCAUUUCAACCCUCAAGCACAGCUUGGUGUUGGGACCCGCGUUAAUUCGCGUUCCCCAAAUUGAUUGGCGGUCACGUCGAGCUUCCAUAGCGUAGUAGUAAAACCCUCGUUACUGGUAAUCGUCGCGGCCACGCCGUUAAACCCCAACUUCUGAAUGUUGACCUCGGAUCAGGUAGGAAUACCCGCUGAACUUAAG